UGAAAGAAAGCAAGAGAACGAGAGUUUUAGACUUAAGAGCUUCUCUUUUAUGUGAGAUUGGAUGUAUUAGGAUUUUGGGUUUGAGAGAUAACUAUUUAUUUUUAUACUAUAUUUUAUUAUAAUAAAAUUUUUUUGCUCUGUCCUCACCCAUGGAGUACGUACACUGUCGAACUACAAAAAUUACUAUGUCAGUAUGUUUUUUCUUUUCUCUCUACUUUUCAUAUCUUUCAUAACAAACUGGUAUCAGAGCCAGUUGCAUCAAAUCAAUCGCUAUAGCUUCUUCAUCAUUUGAUAUUGAGAAGUUUGAUGGUACUGACAGUUUUAAUCUAUGAUAAGUUAAGAUCCGUGCAGUCCUAACACAGAAGGGUUUGAAAAAGGCACUGUUAGGAAAAAAGAAGAUACCCAGUAAUUUGACAGA
rnacentral:lncRNA from 1 species